rnacentral:rRNA from 1 species
GACGAACGCUGGCGGCGUGCCUAAUACAUGCAAGUCGAACGCAGUGGCGGACGGGUGAUUAACACGUGGGUAACCUACCCAUCAGAGGGGGAUAACACUUGGAAACAGGUGCUAAUACCGCCUACUCUCAGAUGAGCCUAGGUCGGAUUAGCUAGUUGGUGGGGUAAAGCCCUACCAAGGCGACGAUCCGUAACUGGUCUGAGAGGAUGAUCGGCAACACUGGGACAGAGACACGGCCCAGACUCCUACGGGAGGCAGCAGUAGGGAAUCUUCGGCAAUGGACGAAAGUCUGACCGAGCAACGCCGCGUGAGUGAAGAAGGUUUUCGGAUCGUAAAACUCUGUUGUUAGGGAAGCGGUAUCUAACCAGAAAGCCACGGCUAACUACGUGCCAGCCGCCGCGGUAAUAC